rfam:Schistosoma margrebowiei strain Zambia genome assembly, scaffold: SMRZ_scaffold0000114
AUCUAACUGACGAGUCCUAAAUAGUACGAAACGCAUGUAUUGGAU